UACGGGGGGGGCAAGCGUUGUUCGGAAUUACUGGGCGUAAAGGGUUUGUAGGUGGCCCGCUAAGUCACACGUGAAAUCCCUCAGCUUAACUGGGGAACUGCGUGUGAGACUGGCAGGCUCGAGGGCAGGAGAGGAACGCGGAAUUCCAGGUGUAGCGGUGAAAUGCGUAGAUAUCAGGAAGAACACCCGUGGCGAAGGCGGCUCUCUGGGACGGUACUGACGCUGAGACGCGAAAGCGUGGGGAGCGAACAGG
rnacentral:rRNA from 1 species